GAUGAAGAACGCAGCGAAAUGCGAUACUUGGUGUGAAUUGCAGAAUCCCGUGAACCAUCGAGUCUUUGAACGCAAGUUGCGCCCGAAGCCAUUAGGCCGAGGGCACGCCUGCCUGAGCGUCACACGUCGUUGCCCCCCCAUCUACUCCUUCGGGAUUGCGGGGGGCGGAUGAUGGCCUCCCGUGCGCCUCGUCGCGCGGUUGGCAUAAAUGCCAAGUCCUCGGCGACGCACGCCACGACAAUCGGUGGUUGCGAAACCUCGGUUGCCCGUCGUGUGCGGUCGUCGCGCAUCGAGGGCUCGAAAAAAUUGCCGGGCUCCGGCUCGGCUUUCAACGCGACCCCAGGUCAGGCGGGGUUACCCGCUGAAUUUAAGCAUAUCAAUAAGCGGAGGA
rnacentral:misc_RNA from 1 species